AUAUGUACCUGGCCGGGGAGAUACCAUGAUAACAAAGGUGGUUUUCCCAGGCGAGGCUUACCCACUGUACUCCAGAUGUGCUGACCCCUGAGAUUUCCCCAAAUGUAGAAACUUAACUGCAUACUUUGUGGUAGUGGAGGGGGGGGGGGUCUGUGUUUGCACUUUCCCUUA
rnacentral:snRNA from 1 species